AUGCGUCAUCCAGAGUCCUGCUGGGGAUUUAGUUCUUGCUGUUCAUGGCUGUAUCAGUUGAAUCGGAAGCUUCCAAGUGGCCCUUCAUGCAGGAAGAUGUUUAUUCCCCACAGCAUACCAGCACCAAAUCCCAGGCCCUCAAUCUGUUUAGAAACCUGUAUCCCUACUUACCCAAAUAAAGAGGUCAGACCAGAUGUGGGAAGGAAAGUAAGACAGUUGUAAUAGUUUUCUAUUGCUAAGUAACAUACAGAUUUAGCAGCUUAAAACAACACAAAUUUAUUAUCUCAGUCUCUGUGUGUCAGGAGUUUGGGCAUGGGUAAGCUGGGUCCUCUGCUCGGAGUCUCACCAAGCUUGAAUCAAGGUGUUGGCUAGAGCAGUAAUCUCAUUUUAGGUUCAGGAUCAACUUCCAGGAAGGCUCACCUGGUGGAUCAGGUCCACCCAAGAUAAUCCCUCGUGUGACUCACUCAGAAUCAAAGCUUAUUUACAGCUGCCGAAUUCCUUUGUUUUAUAAUGUAAUGUAAUCACUGAAGUAAUAGUCCAUCAUAUUCACAGGUCGCUCAUCAUACUCAAGGGCAGGGGAUUAUGGAAGGCAGGUACAUUGGGAAUGGUGGCGAUCUUGGGGGCCGGCUUCGAAUUCUGCCUAUCAAAGUACUGAAAAGAGCAUGAUCCUGGGAGUCACAUGGUUCUGGGUUCAAAUCCUUCCCUUGGUGUUUACUAUCUGUUAAGUAAGACUGAUACUCUAAUCCCUCACCUGUCACCUGAAGAUAUCAGUGCCUGCUGUGUGGUGGUAGAGAUUUGAGGCAAUAUAUGUGAAGAUCUAACGCAGAGAGUCUUCCAUAAGCAAUGAUCUUAUGAUAGGAAGGGAAGAUGCUGGUCUUGGCCAAGGAGGUGGGGGUGGGGGAAGAAGCAGAGGAGCAGUGAUGCUGAUAUAUUACGGGCCUAAUCAUUGCUGAAAAAAUUUUCAAAGGCGCUUGGAAUAUUGAGCAACAUCUGCAAGUCUAUGUAAAGAGUGGGAAUUUGCCAAGUGAUAACUGGGUAGUUUCACAUUUAUUUUUAUGUUUUCAAUUAGUUCAGCCUAAACCACAAAAUUCAAACAAAGAAGAUGUGAAAAUCUGGCCCAAACCAUGUAAAACUUAAGCAUCUGAUUACAGGGGUAGAUCGAAUGAAAUGAUUUUAUUUUUGUAAUAGAGUUUAGUUUUUCUAUUUAUAAAAGUAAUAUGUGCAAAUGAUAUAAUUUGGGGGCUACGUAUAAAUAUAAAGAAGACAAAUGAUAUUAACAUUCGGUUUUUUCCUUCCAGUCUUUUCUCCUUGCAAAGUUUAUGUUUUAUUAUUAGUAUCUUUCCAUGCAUACAAUUACAUAUUCUGCUUAUUUAUCUUAACAUUAGAUCAUAAGCAGGUCUCUCCUUUUUUGACAAUUUUUAAAUUAAAACCAUCAUUUUAAAUGGCUGUACCCUUCAGAGGUUGCAAUUUUACAUGAGUUUCUGUGAUUAUUUGAUUAAUGUCUCUCCUUCUCAGUUGGUAUAUAAAUUCCACAAAAAUAGGACCCAACUCUCCUUUGCAUCAUUGUUGUAUCCCUAGCACCUAACAGUACCUGGCACCUGGCAGAGAAACAAUAAAUAUUGGUUGAAAGGCUGAAAGAAUAAAUAC
rnacentral:lncRNA from 12 species